UAUCUGAUUUUAAUUUAUUUCCUGAUUUCCUCUUUAAUUUUCCAAUCAUUGGAUUUCUUUGAUUUUGUUGACGGUAAUAAUCGUCCCUUAUGUCUUCCACGAGGAGGAGGAUCGUUAUUGCGGUUUCUCACGCCCUAAUCCUUUGAUCAGGUAUGUGUUUGAUUUAGUGAUUAUUUUAAGGCAGGUUUUUUAUGUAAAGGAUUAGAUUUUUGAUAUGUGAAAUAUCAAAUGUUUGGUCCAGAAGCGCUGAUUUGGCCAUCAAAUGGUUUACAGGAAAAAGAGUACCCUCGUUGAAGGCUUUGGCUCCAAAUUUGUAUAAAGAUUACUAGGGAGAAUUGUGUUGAUGCAUUGUUUGCACCGAGUCAUGGGAGCUUGAGAUUUAAAGGGUUGUCUAAGGAAGUGAGAGCUAUCGAGGUAUUAAGGGAGAUUGAAGAGCAAUGGAGCGAUAGAGCAAUAGAGAAAGCGAAGAAGAUUUUGCAAAUGACGAGAGGACGAGAUGAGGAAGAUGGAGAUUGUAAUUGGGAAGGUAUCCUGGAAUCAGGCGAAUUCAGUCGGACUCGGUAUUAAGUUUCUCCUGGCGUUAGAAAAAAUAGGAGGAGAGGUGCUAUUCCUGUCAAAGAAAUUGCAUGGAGUUGAAGAGUUAAUUGGGACUGUAUCUUUGCUUUUAUCUCUGAAUUUAUGGUGUGAUGGGUUUUGUUUUGACGACCUAGAAUUAUCAUUUAUGUUGCUUCUUUAAGUUGCAUACAAGAUUUUUUUCAUCAUAUACCAUCUACUAUAUAUAUUGGCUUAAUUUACUUUCUUA